AAAAACACACAUGAGAGAAAAAAAGAGAGAGAGAAACACAAAAGAAAUAGCACAAUGAUCGGGCUUGCGCUGUAGCGUCUUUCUACGAUACUGCCGAGCCUACGUUUCUCUCUCUCUCUUAUCUUGUUUUUUGUCGUUUUUUUUUCUUCUUUUUCUAUUUCUUUUU
rnacentral:RNase_P_RNA from 12 species